rnacentral:rRNA from 1 species
UAGGGAAUAUUGCACAAUGGGGAAACCCUGAUGCAGCGACGCCGCGUGAAGGAAGAAGUAUCUCGGUAUGUAAACUUCUAUCAGCAGGGAAGACAAUGACGGUACCUGACUAAGAAGCCCCGGCUAACUACGUGCCAGCAGCCGCGGUAAUACGUAGGGGGCAAGCGUUAUCCGGAUUUACUGGGUGUAAAGGGAGCGUAGACGGAGCAGCAAGUCUGAUGUGAAAGGCAGGGGCUCAACCCCUGGACUGCAUUGGAAACUGUUGAUCUUGAGUACCGGAGGGGUAAGCGGAAUUCCUAGUGUAGCGGUGAAAUGCGUAGAUAUCGGGAGGAACACCAGUGGCGAAGGCGGCCUGCUGGGCUUUAACUGACGCUGAGGCACGAAAGCAUGGGUAGCAAACAGGAUUAGAUACCC